ACCUGUUGUGUUUCUGGAGAAUUUUGGAUUGACGGCUCUGCCAGACUGCAGAUAGGGGAUGGUCCCAUUCCUAGACCAUCAUCGAUUACUCUCAAGGAGUUUGGUGAUCUGUGGGUAGCUGACGCCAAACGUCAGUUCAGUCUCAGGCCCAAGUCGCCGUCCCCUGAUGAGCAGCUGAAACGCAGACAAGAGCGUAAGCGCAAGGGCUUGGUCAUAGCGCUCAACACGUAUGCCAAGCGAAACAACAUUCAGCUCUCUGAGUUGGAAUUUGUGGAAGAGAAAGAGAGGAAUCAAGUCGAUGGAUGCGCAGCACUAUAUGUGCACUCCAACUUUCUGGUGAAAGGUUCAGAUGGCAAACAUACUAUGUUCUUUGCUGAGAUGCGACCUGACUGCACACAGGAAGAGGAUGUUGUUCUCUGCACACCUUUGGAAGAAAACAAUUAUGGAAUCUAUCCACCAACUAAUCUGUUUGGUCUUGGUCUACUAUAUGCUGAAGGUCUAUGA
rnacentral:rRNA from 1 species